rnacentral:rRNA from 1 species
UACGAAGGGGGCUAGCGUUGUUCGGAAUUACUGGGCGUAAAGGGCGCGUAGGCGGCUUGGUAAGUUGGACGUGAAAGGCCUGGGCUCAACCUGGGACAUGCGUUCAAAACUGCUGGGCUCGAGUGUGGGAGAGGAUGGUGGAAUUCCCAGUGUAGAGGUGAAAUUCGUAGAUAUUGGGAAGAACACCGGUGGCGAAGGCGGCCAUCUGGACCACAACUGACGCUGAGGCGCGAAAGCGUGGGGAGCAAACAGG